UACGUAGGCAGCGAGCGUUGUUCGGAGUUACUGGGCGUAAAGCGUGCGCAGGCGGUGAUGUAAGACAGUUGUGAAAUCCCCGGGCUCAACCUGGGAACUGCAUCUGUGACUGCAUCGCUGGAGUGCGGCAGAGGGGGAUGGAAUUCCGCGUGUAGCAGUGAAAUGCGUAGAUAUGCGGAGGAACACCGAUGGCGAAGGCAAUCCCCUGGGCCUGCACUGACGCUCAUGCACAAAGCGUGGGGAGCAAACAGGA
rnacentral:rRNA from 1 species